CGGAGGCAGCAGUGAGGAAUUUUCGUCAAUGGGGGCAACCCUGAACGAGCAACGCCGCGUGCAGGAUGAAGGUUUUCGGAUCGUAAACUGCUUUUCUCUGGGACGAGAACGGACGGUACCAGAGGAAUCAGCCCCGGCUAACUACGUGCCAGCAGCCGCGGUAAUACGUAGGGGGCAAGCGUUGUCCGGAUUUAUUGGGCGUAAAGCGCGCGCAGGCGGUCUGCCAAGUUCGGAGUGACAGUUUCCGGUUUAACCGGAAAAGGUCUUCGAAAACUGGUGGACUUGGGAACUUGAGGGGGAGACGGAAUUCCGGGUGGAGCGGUGAAAUGCGUAGAGAUCCGGAGGAACACCGAAAGCGAAGGCAGUCUCCUGGCAAGUUUCUGACGCUCAGGUGCGAAAGCUAGGGGAGCGAACAGGAUUAGAUACCCUUGUAGUCC
rnacentral:rRNA from 1 species